rnacentral:lncRNA from 10 species
CAGAAUCUUCUCAUUAGUUCCUUGGUUUGUAGGGCCAACCAGUAUGGUCUGUAGUGAAGAGGGCUACAUAGAAGCCUCUGAAACUUUCUUACCAUGGCCAAGAGAAUAAAUUAAAAAAAAAAAUCACAUCCAGGGGAAUGGCCAAGAAAUCUGGCACUCUAAACAUGCUCAACACUACAAGUGGUCCCCAUCAUGUCCCCAUUUAAUUAUCUCUCUGUCCCCCUUCAGAACCAGGGGUCCUGAUAAUUGACAGUGGAUCUCCAUGAAGUCAAGUAAUUACUUAAUAUAUCUAUUACCACUACCAAAUGUCCAACCUGCCAGCAACAGAAACCAACACUGAGCUCUUCAACAAACACAGUCCCCAGAGGAGACUAACCAGCCACUUGCUAGCAACUUGAUCACAUCAGAUUCCUUUCAAUCUGGAAAUGGCAGUAAUUGAUUUUGACUGGAAUUGACACAUAUUCCAGAGAUGGCUUUACCUUUCCUACCCACAGGGACUCAGGCAGCAUGACCACCUGUAAGCUUAUAGAUUAUAUGAUAAACUGACAUGGAAUCCUGCAUAACGUGACUGUGGACCACUGGCCCCAUUUUAUAGCAAAAGAAGGACAACAAUGGACAUAUGAUGAUAGGAUAACACCAUCCAGAAACUGCCUAUCUACUAGAGGUUUUUGACAGCACAGCUAAAGUGCCAGCCUGCAGGUGAUACUGUGUCCGGAAUUGGUGGGUUCUUGGUCUCACUGACUUCAAGAAUGAAGCCGCGGACCCUCACAGUCUUCAGGUAGCUGGGUAAGAAGCGGCAAGGCAAACAAAGGGUCCUGGUAAUUGAAAACAACUGGUAAGGAUUGUUUUUCUUUUCUUUCAUGUUCUUCCUAAUUGAUGUGCUGAUUUGUAUAUGAACCUACAGAUGAGUCAAACCUAAGCAUUCGGCAUUGGGAGCACUGUCACUAAAACUGCAGCCUCAUUCAACAACACAUCCUUAUCGAGCACUUGCAGGUACUCCAUUGAAUGUUAGAAAUGCAUUGAUGAUGGAGACACAGCACCGGCUCAUGAGGACCUUCCAGCCUAGGCAGCAGGACUGGACAUACGCACUUUGAUUUAUUUUUAGAAAUUGGCUUAUGCAAGUGUGGGGCUGGCAAGUCUAACAACUGCAGGGCAGGUCAGGAGGCUGGAGACCCAGGGAAGAGUUGAUGCUGCAGUCUCUAGUCUGAAGGCAGUGCAGAGGCAGAAUUCCCUCUUUCUCGGAGGAUCUCAGGCUUUUUCUCCUAAGUCCUUCAACCAAGUGGAUGAGGCCACCCGCAUUAGAGAAGGGAAAGCUAGCUGAUAUGUUAUGAGGACAUUUGAGCAGCCCCAUGGAGAAGUCCACGUGGAAGGAACUGAGGCCUCUUGCUACCGUUAUGUGAGUGAGCCAUCUUGGAAGCAGAUCCUCCAGCCUGGUUGAUCCUUUGGAUGACUGCAGCCCCAGGUGCCAUCUUGACUACAACAUCAGGAAAGAUUCCAAAUUAGACUCCCCCAUCCCAGGCCUGGCCCAGAGAAAGAGAUGAAAGCUGACACGCAGCUCUCAGAAUCACCCUUGCUAUCAGGUUUGGCUUCUGGAGCUGAUGGGAAUCUGAGAGACGUCAGGGUAGAAGCCGCCUGUCUUGGUGAGCUUCCCGUGCUCAUCUGGCUUUGGGAAAGACUCUCAGCCUCAUUUGCUUAUCCUCCAUCACGGACCAAGCACUUGGUUUGGGAAUAAGGGGCCCUUGGCACUUACUGUUGUGUUCUUGGCCUUUGGGGCCUUGGCCAAGAGUCAGGUGGAAAGAGUUCCACCCUAACAUCUUCUCCUAUGCUUCCUCCCAGAGCAGGGGAUGGGAAAGUAUGGGGAGAAAAAGGCUCCUUAGGGAAUUACUUCAUGUUAAAAAAUAUUUACUAGGCACUUAACACGUACGCAGAAAUUUACCAGUGGCUGAAGUGGGUAAUAGGGAUGUAUCAAUUAACUAAUAAACUAAUUAAUUAGACAAAUGUAUUAGACAUUGACUGUGGGUCAGGCACUGUGCUGAGCAUUGGGGAUAUAGCAAUUAAAAAAAAAAAGCCAUGGCCAGGCACGGUGGCUCACACCUGUAAUCCCAGCACUUUGGGAGGCCAAGGCGGGCAGAUACCUGAGGUCAGGAAUUUGAGACCAGCCUGGCCACCAUGGUGAUACCCUGUCUCUACUAAAAUACACAAAAGAAUUAGCUGGGCAUGGUGGCAUGCACCUGUAAUCCCAGCUACUCAGGAAGCUGAGGCACGAGAAUCGUUUGAACCUGGGAGGUGGAGUUUGCAGUGAGCCAAGAUGGUGCCACUGCACUCCAGCCUGGGUAACAGGGUGAUACC